GUUAAUUUGGAUACUGUUUUGUGUAUCAUACUUUGAUAUUUUUAUAUUUUACAUCAGAUUUUAGUAAAUUUAAUUCUAAGUAAUUAAUGAGUAGUUUCUAGUCAUGCAUCAGUGGUUUUAUUUAUUGUAAGACUUCUUUCUUCAUGGCUCAGUGAAUUUUGAUCCAUUGAGUAUUAGUUUACUCUCUAGGUUUAACUAGUUUGUGCUAUGAAAACUCUAUCUCCUUUAUGAUAAUUGGUUCAUUAAGUCAUGUGUCGAUUUAGGAGGGAAAUUCUUUUGUUUAGUCAGACUUUACUUAUAUUUUGAACUGAUUGGAGCUGUGCUGUUCCUUAUAUAAUUUUAUUCAAAUUUGAUGGACAUCUUUGAUUUUUUUUCAAAUAAGGAAAUUUGUAUUAGUAAAUGAAUCAAAUGAAGAAUCUUCAUGGUUAAAUGCAUAGAAAGGAUAUUUGAAGAGAGCCAAUGAUUGACAUAAGGAGAAGCAGUUAUGAAUUUUGAAAUUGAUAUAAAGGAGAGGUCAUUCAUCACAGAAGAUUUAAUCCAAGUUUACAGUAUGUUGAGAGAAGUUCAGAACAAGCAAUUUGGUUGAAGAGGAGUUGUCAACACGUCAUCUUUGAAUAAGGUCAAUUUUAUUAGAAGUGAAUCCUUAACAGAAAUGAGACAAUAAUCAAACAAUUCAAAGACUACAUGGAUGUUAUCUGGACUAGCAUUUGUAUGACCUAAAUGUGGUAUUUUUCAUAUGAACACUUACAAGGCAGAUACUAGUCUGUGACAAACAUUUGUAUGCAAUUAAAGACUGAAGAACUAAUGUACGGUAUUCUUCAGAUUUCAGUAGAAUUUGUUUAAAACGGUACAUUCUUGGUAUGAAUUGAAGAAUUUUUGCUCAUUUAAAUGAAUUAUGAAAAUGUUUUAUAUGUUUAGAAUAAACAAAAACAACAUAAAAGAUAGACAAAUUUGUAUUUUCUUUCUUGAAACUUAUAACAGAAUAAAUUGUCAUAUGCUAAUUCUUGAUAGAUGUGCUGCCAGAAAUUUAUCAAGUCUAUUUUUAGCCUGAAAGUGCAACUCAAUGCACAGUUAUACACACAGGAAACUACAUU